rnacentral:rRNA from 1 species
ACACGACUACAUUAGAUACCCCGGGUAGUCCCAGCCCUAAACGAUGCGCGUUAGGUGUAUCGGUGACCACGAGUCACCGAGGUGCCGAAGGGAAACCGUGAAACGUGCCGCCUGGGAAGUACGGUCGCAAGGCUGAAACUUAAAGGAAUUGGCGGGGAGCACCACAACGGGUGGAGCCUGCGGUUUAAUUGGACUCAACGCCGGGAAGCUCACCGGAUAAGACAGCGGAAUGAUUGCCGGGCUGAAGACCCUGCAUGACCAGCUG